rnacentral:rRNA from 1 species
AUUGAACGCUGGCGGCAGGCUUAACACAUGCAAGUCGAGCGGGGUGAUGGUGCUUGCACUAUCACUUAGCGGCGGACGGGUGAGUAAUGCUUAGGAAUCUGCCUAUUAGUGGGGGACAACAUCUCGAAAGGGAUGCUAAUACCGCAUACGUCCUACGGGAGAAAGCAGGGGAUCACUUGUGACCUUGCGCUAAUAGAUGAGCCUAAGUCGGAUUAGCUAGUUGGUGGGGUAAAGGCCUACCAAGGCGACGAUCUGUAGCGGGUCUGAGAGGAUGAUCCGCCACACUGGGACGGCGACACGGCCCAGACUCCUACGGGAGGCAGCAGUGGGGAAUAUUGGACAAUGGGGGGAACCCUGAUCCAGCCAUGCCGCGUGUGUGAAGAAGGCCUUAUGGUUGUAAAGCACUUUAAGCGAGGAGGAGGCUCUUUUGGUUAAUACCCAAGAUGAGUGGACGUUACUCGCAGAAUAAGCACCGGCUAACUCUGUGCCAGCCGCCGCGGUAA